UCUUAUUAAGAGUGAGUGGAGGGAAUUGGCCCUAUGAAGCUCCAGCAACUGCGUUUGACGUGAGGUGCUAAAUCCAACAGGGAUUCCUGAAAGAUAAGA
rnacentral:ncRNA from 1 species